AUUCAAGGCUCACUUGUCACUUGCGACUUAGCCAAUAUACACUCUCCCUUUCUCUCAUUUGAUUCUUGCCUGGACAGGGACUCAUAUCAUUAAAAAGGAACAAAGAGGCCCUAACCAAACCUCAAAGAGAAGGAAAAGGACAUUUUUCUAAAUGGAAGAAUUCUUUCGUAAGAACCUUGUGAUAGAAAGUCACAUAGCACUAGAUACUGACCAUUUGCAUUCCCAUUGUUUCUGUAGAUAGGAUUUCUG
rnacentral:lncRNA from 1 species